GUGGAUUUUUCUUUUUUUGGAUGCUCUGUUACCUUUUAACAAAAAUGAAGUUUAGCUAUUAUUUUCAGAUUUUUAACUUUAUUUAUUUAAGCACUAACCACAGAAAAUGAGGAUUUAAUGGCAGCAUGAAAGAUUUAAGUUAAACCGGAAAGAGGCUGAGAGAAAGAGGAUACAUCUUAUGGAUCGUUUACUUUAUACCAACAUUGUGCUAAAUAUUUUUUAUAUCUUACUUAAUAUAUCAGUGAGGGCUGUCAUUAAAAAUACUAAACGUGUUAAUUAGUUUAUUCUCUUAUUUAGAAAUUAUUUGUUAAGCAUCCUUUGUGUACAAACAUAUACCAGAAGAUAAAGAGGAGGUAAACAGAUUUGUAAAUAUACAUCCUUUUUUUUUUUUUUUUUUGGUUAUAGGAGAAAUUAAUUAAUCACCUUGGAUCAUCUUCUUUGAGAAUGAAUAUAAGAUUAGAUUAUAUCCCAAGACAUCCUAACUCUAUAAAUCUAUGCUGAAGAAUUUUGUUUUCCUGCUUCUUGAACCAUCUUUCCUUCACUCAUGUCUUCUGACACUAAGGGCUCUUAUUCUAUGCAAAAUUGCCCUAGGGAGCUCCCUAAUACUUGAACUAGGACCUGGGGAUCACAUCGCUUUGAUAGCAAGACAGAAAAAAAUGGGACUGGGACAAUGACAUCCUCAUACGUUUGGACACAUUUUGCCCCGUUUUUAACAGGGUGAGGCUUAUGGCCAUCACUUUGCCUUCUCUUGGAUGCUUAAUUCAUCAACCACCCUUUCUUCUUCCUUCCAACUCUCUGUGGAACUAAAAUACACCACCAGGCCCUUCAUUACGAGUGCCAAACAUGAGGGCAUACAAGAAAGAAAAUAUCUUAAAUGCAAGAAAGCUGUAGAAAAUCAAAUGCCUUUGUGAUCUCAAUUCUAUAUUUACGUGUGGGAUCUAGGGGUAAAUAUGUAUAUGAUAUCAAAGAGCCUAUUACACAUUAAAAUUUUUUGUUAAUAUUAGAUUUUAUAGUGAUCAUUCUUCAAGCGCCUUCCACACGGAACCUCUGCACUGAGCAAUAAACAUUGCUUAUUAAUGAAACCCAUUGCUUAGCCUGUCAGGAGGCAGCGACACUCUUCUGUAAAUACUUUACGCAUGGGUUUUCCUCAGUGUCAGUAGAAAAAUGUGUAGGGAAACAUGCAGCGACAACUGUGUCGGAUUUUAGCAGACAGAUCUCUCGGUUGUUCCAGGAGGUCCACCUCUUCCAAGGGAGAAUCUUCCCCAAACUGAGGGAGAGAUUCUCUUCGUUUCUGUUCCCAACUUCUAGAAGAGAUAGCAUGACACCCCUUUGCCCUUAGACCAAAAUAAACAGAUGUUGAAACACUAAUUCCAAAUAACCUAUUGUUG
rnacentral:lncRNA from 1 species